CUUUUCAAGCAUAACCUGAUGUGCCAAGUGCCAGCCUCUAAGAGCGUAGAGCAGUCAGUGAAACUCUAAAGAAGCUCUGAGUUGUUGGGGAAAAGAAAAAAAGAUGAGUUCUGGAGACAUGAUACAUUUGGUGAAUUAGAAGAGAAUUCACUGGUGCCAGUGCUCUGCUAACAAGGAAGUAGAUGAAAUGUGUUUAAUAAAUGCUAGCUCUUUUUUGGGCUCAAGCACUUUGCUGGGUGUAGCCCCUCUGUGCUUGCCCUCAGAUUGCUUUGGGCAGAAACAGCAUGCCAUGUUACUGGCAGGAUAUUCAUUGGAGAGGAGAGAUGGGCUCCAGGAACUGUACUUAUUCAUUCAUCUCACUCAGUCACUGUUAGUUCCUAAAUACUAAAAGAGCAAAGUCUGUAUAUGCAAGCCAGAAGAAGCCUGCAGCCUGCUGGGCUGCUCAGCACGUGAAUCCUGGCUGCACUGUUGGUAUGACAAGGGGGGUAUGACAAGACACAACCGCAUCAAAACAGAGAUGCUUUUGAACAAUCAGGGAAGCAACCUUUAAGAGCACAUCAGAAACCGAGGUAUUUACUGUGUGUUGCCUGGGAAGCUGACUAGGAGAAUUUUGUGAAUAGUGAAUACAGGGCUCAUUUGUUUUGUACCUGUAUGACAUUUCUAUGACUUAAUCAUAACCUUGUGCCUUUUGUAGAAGCUAAGAGAAAAUGCAAAUAGAUGACAUAAUUUAGAAGGCAUUUUUAAUCAAAUUAUUCUGUAGAAGCAUUUAUAGAGUGAUGUCUUACCUUGGACUCACCACAGUAGUAUCCAAUUACUGAAAUUAUCAGUGUUAGUUUACCCUUAAAUAUCCUUUUCUCAAGAUAAGUAGAUCACAAUGACGACAAUUAUUAUCCUGGAAUACUAUGUCCUCUUGCACAACUCCUACACACACUUUGCUGGAACUGGUAUGAAUUACUCUUGGGCUAUCUUCAAGGAGCAAACCUUGUCAACCCUGCUUAGAUUUGUGACAACUCACAGCAACAGGCUGUAAUAAAUUUCUGAGCACUUCCUCUUCUAAGGCCUCUACCAAGUUACAAAAUCACACAGUCCUUCUGCAACAUAAUUGACACUGACAGCAAUUAAAUCUGAGAAGUUCUUCCCGUAAUCUUUCAUUCCAGAAAGGGCAGUGACCUUGCUGAAAGGUGGUCAAUUACUGUCAGAGUAGGAGCCAUCCCUUCUGGUCACUCCUCUGCUGCAGUCUGUCAGUCCUUCAGUGGCUCAGUUCCCAAGUUUGAGUUAUUAAUUUCUUGCCUUGCAUGUGAAAGAUAAUUUCUCCAAGUGACAUACUAUGUUCAGCUACUACAGUGAUAAGCACCAAAGGUACACAAGAUGAAGAAAAAAUGUGAAUAGUAAAGCAUAGCAGCUGUUGCCAGGCUAUGUCUCUAAGUCCAGUUUUUGUUGCUACUUCAGGGAAGCAUUACAGAAGGUCCUGUUACGCAACACAGAGCCUUAGGAUAUGUAAAGCAGAUGUAAAACCUGGCACCAAGUAAAGCACAAAUAUGACCCUGUCCCAAAUUGAUUAUUAAACACCACACUAAUUUUCCCUAUAGCUCUGAAGUCUGAAUCAAUCCAAAUCCUGAUCUCACUUACCCUCAUGUGACUCUACUGAUUUUAGCACAAUUUUACACCAGUGAGGGCAGGAAAAGGUCAUAAACAUAGCCCUAGGUGACUUGAUACAGUAUAAUCUGUGCUUAAGUGCAUAAAUGAAAAAUUUCAUAUUUGUUAAGUGAUCUUCACUCCUUUGUAAAAGGACAGGAAUUUUUUGUAUUUAUGAUGUCUCCAAAGCAGGUUAUUCUUUACACUGAUGUCCAGAAAUGACUUUAGUUUGCAGUGAUUAUGACUUAUACAUCUAAAUCUUUUUAGUGAAAGAGAGGGUUCUUUGAAGUUCACAAGCAUAAGGAGCUAAAUGGUAACUCAUGCUACAACAUAAAGAUCCUGUAUUUGGAACAACCCCUGCGAUAUGGUUUCAUCUUAUUGUGCAGUCUUCUGCUUCAUACCUAAUCUGAAGCAACAAAAAUGUAAGGAUGAGCUCUGACAUCUUUCUACUUUAUAAUUAUUUUUUGUCAAAUUACUUGUGAUUGUGUUGAUUAAAGUUUUCCUUCAGUUUUGCCUUUGGCUGAAACACAUUUCUCAUUUAUAGAACUUGACUUUAUUCUGUCAUUUCAUCGUGUCAUUAAGCAUAUAUUUAAUGUUUGUUUAUAAGAGUGAAAGUGAAUUCUGUUACAUCCACGGAGCUAUUAAAAACUGCAUUCUCUC
rnacentral:lncRNA from 7 species